rnacentral:snoRNA from 1 species
UUAUGAUGAAUGAAACCUAAAUAUAGCUGGAAUUACCGGCAGAUUGCAGGUGGUGAUAUUGGUCCUUCUGAGC